rnacentral:misc_RNA from 1 species
AAUUUGCCAAGGAAUUUGCCAAUGCAGAGCCCCAGCAUCACCAUGUAGAAUAGAUGCAAAAUUAAGUUGCACACCAUGACAACUUUCUGUGAUGAGUAGUAGACCGUAAAUUAAGCGUUGAUAUUUGAAGCAGAUGGACGAUUUUUGGAUAAUUAACGAUAAGUGUGUAGCCAGGAAACGUUUGUUCUAGAGUAUACCGUGUAGUCACGUGGCUUUAUUUCUAUUAUAGAUACCCCAAAAGUGUCUUUUGAACUAUUAAUAUCGAGUGAUAAUGAACGGUAUUCAGUGUCACUGCCCAGGGCUGGAGUCGGCCUGCGAUGGAGACAAUUCGCCAUACAAUUCUCAGCCAAUGGCCAGCCAGUUUCCCUGUGCCACUGUUCACGACGACCGUGACAAGAAGAAAAAGUCUGGCAGCAGCAAAUCAUUUCUGCCCUCGUACAUUCACGAUAAGGAGAUAAUGGCCAGAAUGGUGUCCCACGACUACGGCCGCCAAUGGCUGGCAGAGCGGGACGCCUGGUUCGAACAGCACGCCACAUCCGACGACAGCCUCCGCACGCGCAUGCUGGACAGGUGCCAGAAAACCGAGAUCGAAUAUGUGAAUGCCCAGAAAUGUUACCGUGACCUAAAAGAACAAAUUGCAAGAGGACGACUAGCAGGAUCAAAAAAGAAGUAAGACCCAUUGAACCAUGAAGUAUAUAUACAUUCGGUCCCCGAAUGUACAAGCAUGUCCAAGGGGCUCUCGACACGCAUUGGGAGCCGUAUCCACCAAUCAAGGGAUGGAGAUGCUGAAGCCUCCGUUCUUACCAGCGCUGGAUUAGAAUACCUUGAUAGGAGAAAAAAUGGAACAAAAAGGAGCUUUUCAGUAUACUUUACCAGGGUCUCAGAAACUGAAAACCAUAGAAGACCGCUACAUCUUCAGAAUCUGUGUCUCUAAACACAUAUUGUUAGAAAUGAAUUCAAAAUCAAAUGAAAUAAAAAAAUACAUUUAUCAAAAUUCAA